UAGCAAUUUAUCAUUACUCAAGUCAGCAUAAUUCA
rnacentral:rRNA from 1 species